GUUUCGAGUUACUCCGGAACACCCGGGAUUUUUCGUAUUUAGCCACGCCGGUCACGUGAUAUGAGCAAAAUGUUCCACAGGGGUACUUCCGGUUAAUUUUGUUUACACUGGUAACAAAAUUGUUUUUGACAAAAUAUAGAUUUUGCGGCACAAACUGUCGCAAAUCAGAUAAAGGAUAGCAAGGGAUAUAUAUUUACUUGGGAAGAUGUCAAAGUUUACCUUUUCCCAAACCCGGGAAAAGCGUUCACGCAGAGGAAACGAUGGCGUCAUUUGUGUAGAAAACCACGAGCAGCCGAAAUUGAGUGCGAUUAUUACAUUCCGUGAAAGCUGAACCAACAAAGAAACAUCAUUGUUCUAGCCAGUUUGCUUAUAUUAACUUUUAGGAAAACCAAGAGGUUGAUAACAAUGGCUGAUCUGCAUAUAAUGACUGCUAGUUAUUGGCUGGUAUGCAGUGAAAGGGAGCUAAAAAGGAGUAAAAAGUUCAUAUCAGCCAGGUGAGAAUUAAUUUCUUCUUUUUUGUGUGUUAUACAUAUGUAAUUCUUUUCUUUUGCUGCUUCAAAUCUUGUGUAUUUGAAAAUUUUCAGUCUAAUAUUUGGCAAUGUUAUAGGUAGUGUGGU